rnacentral:rRNA from 1 species
UUGAAACCGGUUAAUUCUAAAAAUCCCAUUGAUAUACUAAACAUUAAGUUGAAGAGGUUCAACAAAUUCUUUAAAGGAUGUGGUGCAAAUCUUUUUGGCAAUAGAAAGAGGAGAAGGGACCUCAGGGAGGAGUUGGAGGAUCUAGAAAUUUUGGAAGAAACAGAUGUGCUGUCCCUUGAGCUAUAUGAGAGGAAAGUUGAGAUAUCAGCAGAAUUAUAUAAUCUGUUAGUGGAGGAGGAGGUGGCUUUGAUGCAAAAAUCACACGGAAAUUGGCUCUUGAAAGGGGAUAGAAAUACUGACUACUUUCACAGAAUUGUGAAUGGGAGGAGGCGGAGAAAUACUAUUUUUUCUCUUACUUGUGGGGAUGUGAUUAUUGAAGGAAAUAAUAAUCUCUUGGAACAUGCCACUAAUUUCUAUAAGGAACUUUUUGGGCCAGCAGUGGGAAACUUAUGUAAAAUGAAGGAAGAUAUGUGGGAAUCACGAGAGAAAUUGUCAGACAUUGAC